UAGAUACUAAGGUGCUUAAGAAGUUUG
rnacentral:piRNA from 1 species